rnacentral:rRNA from 1 species
UACGUAGGUGGCAAGCGUUGUCCGGAUUUACUGGGCGUAAAGAGCGCGCAGGCGGUCGGAUAAGUCGAAUGUGAAAGCCCACGGCUCAACUGGGGAGGGUCAUUCGAUACUGUUCGACUCGAAGGCAGGAGAGGGAAGUGGAAUUCCCGGUGUAGUGGUGAAAUGCGUAGAUAUCGGGAGGAACACCAGUGGCGAAGGCGACUUCCUGGCCUGUUCUUGACGCUGAGGCGCGAAAGCUAGGGGAGCAAACGGG